rnacentral:rRNA from 1 species
ACUCAAAUGAAUUGACGGGGGCCCGCACAAGCGGCGGAGCAUGCGGAUUAAUUCGAUGCAACGCGAAGAACCUUACCUGGGUUUGACAUCACCUCGAAAGCCAUGGAGACAUGGCCUCCUUCGGGCGGGGUGACAGGUGGUGCAUGGCUGUCGUCAGCUCGUGUCGUGAGAUGUUGGGUUAAGUCCCGCAACGAGCGCAACCCUUAUCCUAUGUUGCCAGCGCGUUAUGGCGGGGACUCAUGGGAGACUGCCGGGGUCAACUCGGAGGAAGGUGGGGAUGAGGUCAAGUCAUCAUGCCCCUUAUGUCCAGGGCUUCACGCAUGCUACAAUGGCCGGUACAGAGGGCUGCGAUACCGUGAGGUGGAGCGAAUCUCGUAAAGCCGGUCUCAGUUCGGAUCCCAGUCUGCAACUCGACUGGGUGAAGUCGGAGUCGCUAGUAAUCGCAGAUCAGCAACGCUGCGGUGAAUACGUUCCCGGGCCUUGCACACACCGCCCGU